rnacentral:tRNA from 2 species
UGGGGUGUCGCCAAGCGGUAAGGCAUCUGAUUCUGGUUCAGACAUUCUGAGGUUCGAAUCCUUGCACCCCAG